GACGAACGCUGGCGGCGUGCUUAACACAUGCAAGUCGAGCGGUAAGGCCCUUUCGGGGGUACACGAGCGGCGAACGGGUGAGUAACGCGUGGGUGACCUGCCCUCAGCUCUGGGAUAAGCCUGGGAAACCGGGUCUAAUACUGGAUAUGACUCCAUGACGCAUGUUGUGGGGUGGAAAGCCUUGUGCGGCUGAGGAUGGGCCCGCGGCCUAUCAGCUUGUUGGUGGGGUGANGGCCUACCAAGGCGACGACGGGUAGCCGGCCUGAGAGGGCGACCGGCCACACUGGGACUGAGACACGGCCCAGACUCCUACGGGAGGCAGCAGUGGGGAAUCUUGCGCAAUGGGCGAAAGCCUGACGCAGCGACGCCGCGUGAGGGAUGACGGCCU
rnacentral:rRNA from 1 species